rnacentral:rRNA from 1 species
AACGAACGCUGGCGGCAUGCCUAACACAUGCAAGUCGAACGAGAUCUUCGGGUCUAGUGGCGCACGGGUGCGUAACGCGUGGGAAUCUGCCCUUUGGUUCGGAAUAACAGUUGGAAACGACUGCUAAUACCGGAUGAUGACGAAAGUCCAAAGAUUUAUCGCCAGAGGAUGAGCCCGCGUAGGAUUGGCUAGUUGGUGUGGUAAAGGCGCACCAAGGCGACGAUCCUUAGCUGGUCUGAGAGGAUGAUCAGCCACACUGGGACUGAGACACGGACCAGACUACUACGGGGGGCAGCAGUGGGGAAUAUUGGACAAUGGGCGAAAGCCUAAUCCAGCAAUGCCGCGUGAGUGAUGAAGGCCUUAGGGUUGUAAAGCUCCUUUACCCGGGAUGAUAAUGACAGUACCGGGAGAAUAAGCUCCGGCUAACUCCGUGCCAGCCGCCGCGGUAA